UGGGCUAUAGCCAAGCGGUAAGGCAACGGACUUUGACUCCGUCACUCGUGGGUUCGAUUCCUACUGCCCCAGCCA
rnacentral:tRNA from 1 species